rnacentral:rRNA from 1 species
AUUGAACGCUGGCGGCAGGCCUAACACAUGCAAGUCGAGCGGAUGAAGGGAGCUUGCUCCUGGAUUCAGCGGCGGACGGGUGAGUAAUGCCUAGGAAUCUGCCUGGUAGUGGGGGAUAACGUCCGGAAACGGGCGCUAAUACCGCAUACGUCCUGAGGGAGAAAGUGGGGGAUCUUCGGACCUCACGCUAUCAGAUGAGCCUAGGUCGGAUUAGCUAGUUGGUGGGGUAAAGGCCUACCAAGGCGACGAUCCGUAACUGGUCUGAGAGGAUGAUCAGUCAAACUGGAACUGAGACACGGUCCAGACUCCUACGGGAGGCAGGAGUGGGGAAUAUGGGAAAAUGGGGGAAAGCCUGAUCCAGCCAUGCCGGGUGGGUGAAGAAGGUCUUCGGAUUGUAAAGCACUUUAAGUUGGGAGGAAGGGCAGUAAGUUAAUACCUUGCUUUUUUGACGUUACAAAAAGAAAAAGCACCGGCUAACUUC